rnacentral:lncRNA from 1 species
AGAAAUCUGAGAUCUGGAAGGUUUCUCAGAAGUUCAGAAUUAAAAAUGAAAACUGCAUAAUUAUCUCAAUAGAUGUAGAAAAGACUUUUGAUAAAAUUCAACAUUCCUUCAUAUUAAAAAACCCUCACCAAAUUAGACAUCAAAGGAACAUACUUCAAAAUAGUAAGAGCCAUCUGUGACAAACCCACAGCCAACAUCAUACUGAAUGGGCAAAAGCUGUAAGCAUUUUCUCUUGAGAACUGGAACAAGACAAGGAUGUCCACUCUCACCACUCCUAUUCAGCAUAAUACUGGAAAUCCUAGCCAGUGCAAUCAGGCAAGAGAAAGAAAUAAAAGGCAUCUAAAUAGGAAGAAAGGAAGUCAAGGUUUCUCUCUUCACAAACAAUAUGAUUCUAUACCUAGAAACCCCCAAAGACUCUGCAAAAAGGCUCAGAGAACUGGUAAACAACUUUAGUAAAGCUUUAGGAUACAAAAUCAAUGUACGAAAUUCAGUAGCAUUACUAUAUACCAAUAACAUUUAAACUGAGAGCCAAAUGAAGAACACAAUUCCACGUACAAUAGCCACAAAAAGAAGAAAAUGCCUAGGAAUACAGCUAACCAAGGAGGUAAAAGUUCUCAACAACAAAAAUUACAAAACACUGCCGAAAGAAAUCAGAGAAGACACAAACAAAUGGAGAAACAUUCCGUGCUCAUGGACAGGAAGCAUCAAUAUCAUUAAAAUGUCCACACUGCUCAAAGCAAUUUACAGAGUUAAUGCUAUUCCUAUCAAACCACCACCAUUAUUUCUCACAGAACCAGAAAAGACUAUUCUAAAAUUCACGUAGAACCAAAAAAGACCCUGAAUAGCCAAAAUAAUCCUAAGCAAAAAGAACAAAGCUGGAGGCAUCACACUCCCUGACUUCAAACUAUACUAAAGGCUACAGUAACCAAAACAUCAUUGUGCUGGUACAAAAACAGACACAUAGACCAAUGGAACAGGAUAGAGAACCUAGACAUAAAGCCACAUACCUCCAACCACCUGACCUUUGACAAAAUCAACAAUACCAAGCAGUGGGGAAAGGACUCCCCAUAUGAUCAUCUCAGAAUCAUUUACUAUUCAGCAAAUGGUGCUGGGUUAACUGGCUCGCAUAGGCAGAAGAUUGAAACUGGAUCCCUUCCUUUCACCAUAUACAAAAAUUAUCUCAAGUUGGAUUAAAGACUUAAAUAUAAGACCUAAAACUGUAAAAAUGUUAGUAGAAAACCUAGGAAAUAACAUUCUGGACAUCAGCCUUGGGAAAUAAUUUAUGACUAAGUCCCCAAAAGCAAUUGCAACAAAAACAAAAAUUGAUGAGAGAGACCUAAUUAAGGGAAGAGCUGCUUUCUGCACACCAAACAAAACUAUCAACAGAGUAAACAGACAACCUACAGAAUAGGACAAAAUAUUCACAAACUACCCAUCCAACAAAGGUCUAAUAUCCAGAAUUUGUAAGGAACUUAAACAAUUGAACAGAAAAAAAAAAGAAAAAAAAAAUUUAAAAAGGACAUGAACAGACACUUCUCUAAAGAAGACACACAUGUGGCCAAAUGUAUGGAAAAAUGUUCAUCAUCACUAAUCAUUAGGGAAAUGCAAAUCAAAACCACAAUAAGAUACCAUCUCACACCAAUCAGAAUGGCUAUUACUAAAAAGUCCAAAAAAAAAAAAAAAAAACAGAUGUUGGGGAGUUUGCAGAGAAAAGGGAACACUUAUGCACUGUUGGUGAGAAUGUAAAUUAAUUUAGUCACUGUGGAAAGUGGUGUGGAGUUUCCUCAAACAACUUAAAAUAGAACUACCAUUUGACCCAGCAAUCCCACUACUGGGUAUACACCCAAAAGAAAAUAAAUCAUUCUACCAAAAGGACAUAUGCACUCAUGUGUUCAUUGCAGCAGUAUUCACAAGAGCAAAGACAUGGAGUCAACCAAGAUGCCCAUCAGUGGUGGACUGGAUAAAGAAAAUGUGGCAAAUAUAUGCUA